UGGGACGCUGCGCUGCCCUCUGGUGGCCGGAGAGGGCCGUUGCUCAACUCCCAGCGUAAUGCUGCUGGGCCCUGGGGAAACCUGGCUCCAGACGUUGCUUCUGCCCAGGUGCAAGACCUUUCUCUCCCUGAGGGCCCAUUACGACUCAGCUCUCUAGCAGCGCAUCCUCGUUUUAUGUCGGUAGAAACCGAGCCACAGGAAAGAUUGCGGCAAGUGGCCGGGAAUAAAUGACUGGGCUGGGGCCGGACGCCAAGCCCUAGGCUUCUUAAUGAAGACCCUUUCACCUGUUGGAGUCGGCUGUGAUCUGUGAGGCCGGGCCUGCUUAGCCAUCCCGGGAAGCCCUGGAACAGAGCGGCUCCAGCAAGCGCAGUGCCUCGGACGGAGGGGUGCAGGGCCGGUCAAUGUUACACUCAUAUUGUAAUGCCAGAGAAACUGAGGCAGGAGAGAGAUUAGAGAGUUUUUAAUAUUUUAUUAAUGGGAGAGUAAGAUUGACUGGACAGGACUCUCGUCUCAAAUUGUCCAGCCAGACAGAGAUAAAUAUAUACUGGGACCAAGGAAUUCAUGUUGGUCCCAGGUCUGGAGAAGACUAUCAUCUCAAAGAAUCCAGCGUCCAGCAUCCACAGCCAGCCGCCAUUCUCCAGCAAUGAAUGGAGGAAUCUCUAACCUUUAUAUACCUUUUAGAGACAAAGAAGAGGGAAAAAGAGCGGGAAAAGCCCAGCUGGAAAAGGCUAUGAUAAAGAUGUCAGUGAAAUAUCUUGGAAUACUUUAAGGGAUGUUGUAAAUUUCUCAAGGACAGAAGAUAAUCAGGAA